GCCUUCGCGGUGUAGUGGUCAGCACGCUCGACGCGUAACCGAGAGGUUUGUGGUUCGAUUCCCGGCGAAGGCG
rnacentral:tRNA from 1 species